UUUACUUCGGGUAAAUGACGUUAGGAAAAGCGAGCGGCGGAUGGGUGAGUAACACGUGGGGGAAUCUGCCCCAUAGUCUGGGAUACCACUUGGAAACAGGUGCUAAUACGGGAUAAGAAAGCAGAUCGCAUGAUCAGCUUUAAAAAAGGCGGCGUAAGCUGUCGCUAUGGGAUGGCCCCGCGGUGCAUUAGCUAGUUGGUAAGGUAAAGGCUUACCAAGGCGAUGAUGCAUAGCCGAGUUGAGAGACUGAUCGGCCACAUUGGGACUGAGACACGGCCCAAACUCCUACGGGAGGCAGCAGUAGGGAAUCUUCCACAAUGGACGCAAGUCUGAUGGAGCAACGCCGCGUGAGUGAAGAAGGUUUUCGGAUCGUAAAGCUCUGUUGUUGGUGAAGAAGGAUAGAGGUAGUAACUGGCCUUUAUUUGACGGUAAUCAACCAGAAAGUCACGGCUAACUACGUGCCAGCAGCCGCGGUAAAU
rnacentral:rRNA from 1 species